UGAGAGAGUGUAGUUUUGGUGGUGUUUCCUUUCGUCACUUGACAAAGACUUCCUUCUGCAUUUCAAAUGUCUUUGACACAGUUGAUUUCUAUUCAGGUUUGGAAGUCUUGAGGAGGAAGGACGUUGCUAAAAUGGUGCAUGCAUAUGAAAUGAAAGGUCUUCAUUUCCCCUUACAUGGUUGAUUAGGGGCUCAGCAUUGGUGUUGACGGGAUGUAUGUGAGCAACAGAGGUGCAUCCUGUGACGACUACGACCUCUGCUGGUUCACCUCCCCCUGCAGCGGGCGGGCCCCGGCGGUCGACGUCACCGGCUUU